rnacentral:rRNA from 1 species
AACCCCUAUUGUUAGUUGCCAUCAUUCAGUUGGGCACUCUAGCGAGACUGCCGGUAAUAAACCGGAGGAAGUGGGGAUGACGUCAAAUCAUCAUGCCCCUUAUGACCUGGGCUACACACGUGCUACAAUGGUUGGUACAACGAGUUGCGAGUCGGUGACGGCGAGCUAAUCUCUUAAAGCCAAUCUCAGUUCGGAUUGUAGGCUGCAACUCGCCUACAUGAAGUCGGAAUCGCUAGUAAUCGCGGAUCAGCACGCCGCGGUCGAAUACGUUCCCGGGCCUU